CCCAGCAGUAGUCAGCCAUCCUUGACCUGUUCCUGUGAUGGCGUUACACUACUGGGAGAGUAAGGUCUUGUCUUUACCCCCCUGCCUGGUCACUGUUCUGGUGGCAUGUGGUACUGGUGUGAGGCAAAACUGUGCUUCCUUGAGAGUGUGCUAAGCAUUCACUUUGACUGCUUAGUUCUAGUGUGGGAGCAGACAGU
ensembl:snoRNA SNORA74 Small nucleolar RNA SNORA74